rnacentral:snRNA from 15 species
AUACUUACCUGGACGGGGUCGAUGGGUGAUCAAGAACACCCAUGGCCUAGAUCAAUGGUCCACAUUGCACUUGGUGGAUGCGUUGGUCUACCAUCUCCUCAAAUAGGAGAGUGGACGUCAUAAUUUGUGAUAGAGGGGGUACGCGUUCGCGCGGCCCCUAC